rnacentral:rRNA from 1 species
AACGAACGCUGGCGGCAGGCCUAACACAUGCAAGUCGAGCGCCCCGCAAGGGGAGCGGCGGACGGGUUAGUAACGCGUGGGAAUGUACCCUUUUCUACGGAAUAGCCUCGGGAAACUGAGAUUAAUACCGUAUACGCCCGGUAACGGGGAAAGAUUUAUCGGAGAAGGAUCAGCCCGCGUAAGAUUAGAUAGUUGGUGGGGUAAUGGCCUACCAAGUCUACGAUCUUUAGCUGGUUUGAGAGGAUGAUCAGCAACACUGGGACUGAGACACGGCCCAGACUCCUACGGGAGGCAGCAGUGGGGAAUCUUAGACAAUGGGCGCAAGCCUGAUCUAGCCAUGCCGCGUGAGUGAAGAAGGCCUUAGGGUCGUAAAGCUCUUUCAGUGGGGAAGAUAAUGACGGUACCCACGGAAGAAACCCCGGCUAACUCCGUG